UACGUAGGCAGCGAGCGUUGUUCGGAGUUACUGGGCGUAAAGGGUGUGUAGGCGUUUGUUUAAGUUUGGUGUGAAAUCUCCCGGCUCAACCGGGAGGGUGCGCCGAAUACUGAAUGACUCGAGUGCGGGAGAGGAGAGUGGAAUUCCUGGUGUAGCGGUGAAAUGCGUAGAUAUCAGGAGGAACACCGGUGGUGUAGACGGCUCUCUGGACCGUAACUGACGCUGAGACACGAAAGCGUGGGUAGCAAACAGG
rnacentral:rRNA from 1 species